GCCAGCGAGACCAUGGAACAUUCGUCUCUUCUCUGAUAAGUCCUCGCCGCGUGGCUUGGCGGGAAACGUGCAGCACAUGUCCCACGCCAUCGAGGAGCUGCAGCCUGCCAUGGACUACGAGGCGACGGUGGCUGUGGAGAACAAGUUUGGCUGGUCAGGGGAGUCUGACGUGUUUCAUUUCUACACCAGGAAAGAGAUGGCUGUGGGGCAGUCAACGAGCAGAGGACACAGAGCAGCCACCGUCCCACCUAACCUCCUCUUCCUCCUCCUCCUCCUCCUCCUCCUCCUCUUCGCCGUCUUCCUCUCAGGGCAUCAGUCUUAGAUCUUCUCCUAUACUCGUCUUUGUGAGUAGCGGGAGGUGACACGCGCGCCAUCUAGUGAAUGUAAGCGGAGUCUCGUGCCUGGAGUGUUGGGUCGACGUGUGUGUGCGUGUGUGUGUGUGUGUGUGAACGAAUAUUUAAGGUAAUUUUCCUUUUUCUUUCGCCACUCUUCAAUCCUCUAAGGACAAUGGUUUUUUUUUUUUUAAUUACUGUUUUACCUGAAGUGUGAAAUAACCAAAGGAUUAAAUUUUUGUACAUGUGGUCUUGUGUUUUGGAACGUUUGAAAAGUGAGGAAAAAAAAAGAAAACUGGAAAAUUAUCUUAAA